rnacentral:rRNA from 1 species
GACGAACGCUGGCGGCGUGCCUAAUACAUGCAAGUCGAACGCAGUGGGGACGGGUGAGUAACACGUGGGUAACCUCCCAUCAGAGGGGAUAACACUUGGAAACAGGUGCUAAACCGAUACUGAUGGAUGGACCCGCGGUGCAUUAGCUAGUUGGUGAGGUAACGGCUCACCAAGGCCACGAUGCAUAGCUGGCCUGAGAGGAUGAUCGGCCACACUGGGACUGAGACACGGCCCAGACUCCUACGGGAGGCAGCAGUAGGGAAUCUUGCGCAAUGGACGAAAGUCUGACGGAGCAACGCCGCGUGAGUGAAGAAGGUUUUCGGGUCGUAAAGUACUUUUAUUAGAGAGGCGGUAUCUAAAGAAGAAGCCACGGCUAACUACGUGCCAGCAGCCGCGGUAAUUC